rnacentral:rRNA from 1 species
GACGAACCGUGCAAACGUUGUUCGGAAUCACUGGGCUUAAAGGGCGCGUAGGCGGGCAAGCAAGUCGAAGGUGAAAUCCCACGGCUCAACCGUGGAAGUGCCCCCGAUACUGCUUGUCUUGAGGGAGAUAGGGGCGUGCGGAACUUCCGGUGGAGCGGUGAAAUGCGUAGAUAUCGGAAGGAACACCGGUGGCGAAAGCGGCGCGCUGGAUCCCUUCUGACGCUGAGGCGCGAAAGCCAGGGGAGCAAACGGG